AUCUCAUACAGUAAACUGCUACCGCAUUCUAUUUAUGACGAAUUACAUUUUACAAUGUAUUCGCAUAGAGAACAGUUAUUUUAAAUAAACAUUACUGUUUUUAUUUAUGAUCAAAUAAAUGCAGUUUUCUUUGUGAACAUAAGAGACUUAUUUCAAAAACAUAAACAAAACUGACCACAAAUGUUAAUAACACAAGGGAUACAAAUAUUAGUCCAUUUAUUCUAUUAAAGUGCAAGAAGCUCUUAAAAAUAUUAACGUAAACAGAUUUUUUUAUUUAUUUAUUUGUAUUGUAUACCAAGAAUGCAAUGCACAAUGACGUAGAUUGUCUGUCUAUGCUGGAUGCAAACCAGAGCGACCAUUGAAAAUCAUUUGAACUUUGUGUCAGUACAUGGUAAAUAGAACACAGCAUCAGUUUGCUGUCAGGGAUUUGUAGUGUUGUGCUGUGCCUCUUCCAGUGUAGGCAGCAUCGCUGAUUAUAAUAGGUUCUAUCGUAUUAUGUCGUAUGUUGUAUGCAUUUUGCUCACAGUGUUAAAACUGGUAUGAUUCCAUUCAUAGCUAAAACAACUUUUCUAUUUCAGAGACUGAAAAUUGUCAAUAAAACACAAGUGGAUUGAUAGCUCCAACACCAAUUAAGCAGACCUGAGCAGCCGAUCAAGGAUCACCAGAAACUCUGCAGAACUUUGGUCCUCAAUGCCCAGGACUGGAAACCAGAGCUAUGCUGGAGAAAAAGCAGCCAGGCUAAAGCAUUUAAAGUGGAAACUUUUGUCGUGGCUCAAAAAUCCAGGAUUGGGAUGGUGGAAGGAGCAGAAGACCAGAGAUCAGGCAGAGAUCUACUGAUGCCCCUGAGGGAACUGUUUAACUAAUGUGUUAGGUUAAAUCAAAAAUUUUCAGCACUCACCUUCAUGUCUUUCCAAACCUGUAAAAAUUUUGGUCAUCUUUGAAACAUAAAUGUAGAUCUUUUUAAUGAAAUCUGAGAAAUAUCUGUCCCUCUGUUUCACAGUUUAUGCAACUACCACAUUCGAUCCUCAGAAAGGUAGUAAAGACAGCAUUAAAGUAAGCCAUGUGACUCCGGUUGUUUAACCUUAAUUUUAUGAAGUGAUGUGAAUGGUUUAUACGCACAAAAAACAUUGCAUUUUUAUUCACACACAAACAAAAAUCUUAUGGUGCUUUUGUGAAAAUGCGUUGGAGAUACCUAAUGUAUGAAUAAAGACGUAAUUUUGUUGUUGCUGUUUUUUUGCAUACACAAGGCAUCUGUUAAAAAUAUCUUUAUUUGCAGUCUGCACAGAGGUUUCUUAUGGGUUUAGAGUGACAUGAGAGUAAUUAAGUAAUUAAUGGCAAAAUUAGCAUUUGUUUGGGUGAGAUGUGUCCUAAUGUGGUUAAAAUCGGUCAUUGUCCUGUGUUAUAAACAUUUUCAGUAUUUCAAAGAUUAUUUUGAAAAAUCUGUUUCAAAUAAAUACUGCUCCUUUGAAAGUUCUAUUUGAAGAAUACUGAAAAUAUGUUUUCCAAAAAAAAUAUUGGGCAGCACAACUGUUUUCCACAUUGAUAAUAAUCAGAAAUGUUUCUUGAGCAGCAAAUCAUAUUAAAAAUGUUUUCUGAAGGGUCAUGUGACACUGAAUACUGGAGUAAUUAUGAUGAAAAUGUAGUUCACAUGAAUAAAUUACCUUUCACAAUGUAUUCAUAUGGAAAACAUAGUUAUAUUUUAUAAUUUUACUGUUUUUACGGUAUGUUUAAUCAAAUGCAGGCUUAAUUUGUGAUCAGGAAAGUGUUUUUUACU